AAUAUAAAAUAGAUUUUCUAUAUCUGAUUACGGCUCGGCUAGAUAUAUAUUU
rnacentral:tRNA from 1 species